rnacentral:rRNA from 1 species
UACACGACCGUACCGCAAACCGACACUGGUGCGCGAGAUGAGUAUUCUAAGGCGCUUGAGAGAACUCAGGAGAAGGAACUCGGCAAAUUGACACCGUAACUUCGGAAGAAGGUGUGCCUUUAGUAGGUGAACCUGUACAAGGGGAGCCCAAUGAGGUUGCAAAAAAUCGGUGGCUGCGACUGUUUAAUAAAAACACAGCACUCUGCAAACACGAAAGUGGACGUAUAGGGUGUGACGCCUGCCCGGUGCUGGAAGAUUAAAUGAUGGGGUGCAAGCUCUUGAUUGAAGUCCCAGUAAACGGCGGCCGUAACAAUAACGGUCCUAAGGUAGCGAAAUUCCUUGUCGGGUAAGUUCCGACCUGCACGAAUGGCGUAACGAUGGCCACACUGUCUCCUCCUGAGACUCAGCGAAGUUGAAAUGUUUGUGAUGAUGCAAUCUCCCCGCGGAAAGACGGAAAGACCCCAUGAACCUUUACUGUAGCUUUGUAUUGGACUUUGAACAGAUCUGUGUAGGAUAGGUGGGAGGCUUUGAAGUGUGGUCGCUAGAUCGCAUGGAGCCAACGUUGAAAUACCACCCUGGUGUGUUUGAGGUUCUAACCUAGGCCCGUAAUCCGGGUCGGGGACAGUGCAUGGUAGGCAGUUUGACUGGGGCGGUCUCCUCCCAAAGCGUAACGGAGGAGUUCGAAGGUACGCUAGGUACGGUCGGACAUCGUGCUAAUAGUGCAAUGGCAUAAGCGUGCUUAACUGCGAGACUGACAAGUCGAGCAGAUGCGAAAGCAGGACAUAGUGAUCCGGUGGUUCUGUAUGGAAGGGCCAUCGCUCAACGGAUAAAAGGUACUCUGGGGAUAACAGGCUGAUACCGCCCAAGAGUUCAUAUCGACGGCGGUGUUUGGCACCUCGAUGUCGGCUCAUCUCAUCCUGGGGCUGUAGCCGGUCCCAAGGGUAUGGCUGUUCGCCAUUUAAAGAGGUACGUGAGCUGGGUUUAAAACGUCGUGAGACAGUUUGGUCCCUAUCUUCCGUGGGCGCUGCAGAUUUGAGGAAGCCUGCUCCUAGUACGAGAGGACCGGAGUGGACACACCUCUGGUGUAUCGGUUGUCACGCCAGUGGCAUUGCCGAGUAGCUAUGUGUGGAAGAGAUAACCGCUGAAAGCAUCUAAGCGGGAAACUCGUUUCAAGAUGAGAUCUGCCGGGGCCUUGAGCCCCCUAAAGAGUCGUUCAAGACCAGGACGUUGAUAGGUCAGGUGUGGAAGCGCAGUAAUGCGUUAAGCUAACCGAUACUAAUUGCUCGUGCGGCUUGACC